rnacentral:rRNA from 1 species
AUUGAACGCUGGCGGCAUGCCUUACACAUGCAAGUCGAACGGUCACGCGGGGCAACCUGGCGACGAGUGGCGAACGGGUGAGUAAUGCAUCGGAACGUGCCCAGUCGUGGGGGAUAGCCCGGCGAAAGCCGGAUUAAUACCGCAUACGACCUCCGGGUGAACGCGGGGGACCGUAAGGCCUCUCGCCACCGGAGCGGUCGAUGUCAGAUUAGGUUGUUGGUGGGGUAAAAGCCUACCAAGCCGACGAUCUGUAGCUGGUCUGAGAGGACGACCAGCCACACUGGGACUGAGACACGGCCCAGACUCCUACGGGAGGCAGCAGUGGGGAAUUUUGGACAAUGGGGGCAACCCUGAUCCAGCCAUGCCGCGUGCGGGAAGAAGGCCUUCGGGUUGUAAACCGCUUUUGUCAGGGAAGAAACGGUCUGGGCUAAUACCCCGGGGUAAUGACGGUACCUGAAGAAUAAGCACCGGCUAACUACGUGCCAGCCGCCGCGGUAACAC